rnacentral:lncRNA from 1 species
GUGGGGGAAGCAGACAGUAUUGGUAGCUAAGGGAUGCUGAUGGCACAGAGAAAAGUCUGACAAUUAUGGGGGCUGCAUGGGCAGAGUUUUUCCACAGCAGAGUCAUAGCCUCAAACUAGGGAAAAGCCACAGGGGAAAGGUAGCAUUAACUCUGAAAAUCAAUUUGCCUGUUUGGAGGAACCCAAAUGAAUGGGGCAGGUUAGGGAGGCUGCAGAGCAAGGAGAAAAAGUGAUCGCACAGAUGCAAUGUUGGUUUGUGUAUGUUCAAGGAGUUGGGCAUCAAAAGUUAAACAUGAGUCAGAAGACCAAAAGUGGUUUUUAAAUGGCCAAUUCAAACUGGAGCACAAAUAAACGAAGCAGCCAGGAGGACAUCUCCUAACACGUUAGUGAUGGUCAGACCCUUCAGAGAAGACUACGCCCUUCAGAGAAAACUACAUUCAGUUAGCAACUCCAAGAUUCAAGAGAGGAAGGAAAGUGAAGCUCGAGGAAGAUGGUAGAAAGCGGCAUCAAAGAAGAAUAUGCAAAGGGAUUAAAGAAUCCAAAAUUAUUUUGGUUGGAGAGUAAAAUGAAAGAUACGAACUGAUUUCUACUGAUUAGUCUGCAAAGGGAGAUUAUAUGAAAUUGGCGACCAGCAGUUCUCCAUCUCGCAUAAUAGAAAAAAUAAAAUUAGGACACAAUUCAAACUAUAGGGAUUUAGAUUGAUCACAUUUCUGAGGAAUGACCUUAAAGGGAGGUUGUGCAGAACUCAGUGGAUUCCUGUUAGAAUGUGUGGCGAUUGUCUCUAGGAGGGCUUGUAAAUCAGGAUGCAGAGGUCCAGUUCUGCCGGAAUGAACUCACAGCCUGUUGGCCAUUUCUGCGCAUCUCCUAGAGGAAAAAGGCAAAGUCCGGAGACGAGAAGUGACUGAAUUCCAAUGGGAAUGUCAGGAGUGGAAACAGAUAGGACUCCGUCUGGGGAUGUUGCAGAGGAAGGCCACAGACUAUGACUUGGCGAGAACUUCCCCCGUGGAAAGGGCUUUCUUCAGUUCUUCAAUGUUUUCACCGGGUAUUAGAAGAAAUUCCAUUUGGGGAAUAGACAGAUUCCUGUCUUCCAUUAUGCAAGCAUCUGCAGGAAGCAAAUAUGGCAAAUUAUUAGAGAGAAGGUAG